UGAGGAAUAUUGGUCAAUGGGCGGAAGCCUGAACCAGCCAUGCCGCGUGCAGGACGACGGCCCUACGGGUUGUAAACUGCUUUUCCGGGGGAAGAAUAACCCCCCUGCGGGGGGGGAUGCCGGUACCCCGGGAAUAAGGAUCGGCUAACUCCGUGCCAGCAGCCGCGGUAAUACGGAGGAUCCUAGCGUUAUCCGGAUUUACUGGGUUUAAAGGGUGCGUAGGCGGGCGCUUAAGUCCGCGGUGAAAGUCUGCGGCUCAACCGUAGGAUUGCCGUGGAUACUGGGGGGCUUGGAUUCGGUCGGGGCGGGCGGAAUGCGUGGUGUAGCGGUGAAAUGCAUAGAUAUCACGCAGAACGCCGAUAGCGAAGGCAGCUCGCCGGGCCGACAUCGACGCUGAGGCACGAAAGCGUGGGGAUCAAACA
rnacentral:rRNA from 1 species